rnacentral:rRNA from 1 species
UCUUUUAAUUGAAGGCUUGUAUGAAUGGCCGGACAAAAAGUGAGCUGUCUCCAAUUGUUAAAAUUGAAUUUGACCUUUAAGUGAAAAGGCUUAAAUAAUACAAAGUGACGAUAAGACCCUAUAAAGCUUUAAAGCAAAUUAUUUUUCAGAAUAAAUUAUUAAAUCCAUAUAACUUAAUUUAAAAGAAAGCUUUUUUGUUGGGGCGACAAAAAUAUAAAUAAGUAACUGUUUUUGUAAACAAAAAACAGUGAUAACUGGAGUAUAAAAUGAUCCUUUACUAAAGACUAAAAGGUUAAGUUACUUUAGGGAUAACAGCGUAAUCUUCUUUGAGAGUCCAAAUCGACAAGAAGGGUUGCGACCUCGAUGUUGAAUUAAGGUUCCUUUAUGGUGUAGCAGUUAUAAUAGGAGGUCUGUUCGACCUUUAAAUCCUUACAUGAUUU